UCACAGUGGGGAACGUGGAUCGGUGUAGCCACCGGCCUGUAUAGUGUAUCUCACGAGGCGACCCAUCGGUCUUUGCAGCGCGCCAAAGAGUGCAGGCAAUAUCCACAAGGCUAUGACGACCACGGCGCAGCUACUGCUGGCGGUUCUGCUCGUCCGGGUGGCCUGGUGUCGUCCGCCGAGCCAGCCUUCGUCCACGGCGUUGCCAGUGACGCUUCGCCAUGACGAGAUAGGCGAUUGUCUAUGGGGAACUCAUGUGCGCAAGCGUUGCCAGGACUGUGCUGUGCUGACCAAGAGCUCUAAAGCGUACCGCAUGUGCUGUUUCGACGACCCUGGAAACAGCACUGAGUCCGUGCGUGCCUAUUGUGAGCGUUUGCUGGACUACACCGUCUGAAGAAUUCUCACGUCGGACCCGACGAUAAAUUUCUCAUGGAUCUGGGCAUUGAGAGAAAGAGAGCUGUGUUACGCUUUUAGACUCUGACAAAAUGUGUGCGCAGUUGUGUCACAAAUGACUCACGUUCCACAUGUUUCGUUCUCAACGUCACUCAUUAGAACCGAUACGCGGCAUCGUAUCACGGGACAUGUCGCCAUAACGGUACGCGGUGUUAGGCACCUGGUGUGACCUUUGUGGAAACACAGAACGCGUUCGGUACCUCGUCUUUCAAGGGUAUUUUUUUUAUUUCAUCUCUCGGCGUUCCUUCAACUUCGUAGAAUAAUAAUUGUUGGGGCUUUACGUCCCAAAACCACGAUAUGGUUAUGAGGGCUCCGGAAAUUUCGACCACCUGGGGUUCUUUAACGUGCACAUAAAUGCAAGUACACGAGCCUCUUGGAUUUUGCUUCCAUCGAGAUGCGGUCGCCGCGGCCGGGAUCCGAUCCCGCGAAAUUUCGUAGACUUCAUUAUACACGUACUGUUCGCCUGCAUUUUCGCUCAGCAUAUCAGACGAUCAGACAAAACGGUAAUUGGCACAGGGAUGUCAAACCAUAGACUGCACUUACUUUAGGAACCUUGUUUUGAGAACACCAAAGUUCUUCAUGUUUUUUCGGGUUACUUAUUGCGCUGCUAAAUAAAAAAAAACGCUUCAGAUCUUUUUUCAUAUCGCCGCGAGCUCAGAGCUCUGCAUAAAAUGGGAGCUAUUUGAUUUCCAAGAACAUGUGACAACUUGUACGAGCUUGACUGCACUAUGUAUGCGCAUCUGCUAAAGAUAGUGCGCAAGAAGCAAGAAAGAAAUGGAAAUUAUGUAUAGAACGCCGUACAUGUGCGUCUGCCUCAAUGGCACUAGCCAUCUAUUUCAGUGCGUUAACAUUCCGAUACCGUCUAGUCAGAACCUCACCAUCCUGGCAGUGUAUCGGACACCGUUUUUCUCUCCCCAAAUUCUGCCCCAUUCCGCCGUAGUCGUGAAAAGUAGAGUAACUCGGAUAACAUGGCGGAGCUUUAGAACUUCUGAUCUGGACACUUAUGGAGCCGGCUACUCUGUGGAGCACUUCACAUUUCGUUCUUCGGUCUUCGUUCAGUUUCAGAGUGAUGAUGCCUCGAAGUGCUGCGAGGCCAUGUUUUUAAAGGGGUUUUCGAACAACCUCACUCUCGGCGCUUAUUGCCCCGCGAAUCGACUGCCGCAAAAAUGCUUAGAACGCGUCAAGUGCCAGCGGAGUUACGGGGAUUUUGUCGCGCGCAUUAAUUAAAAGCUUUUUUUUUUCCUCUCCUAUCGUCGAGAUGAGUGCGCUGAAAGCCACACGUGGGGCAGUGACAAGGACGCGAGAACCUACGUCAGCGCGCGCUCACGAACUUCAGCGCGUUUCGUUUUCUCUCGGAAUGCGUCGCCUCAUUUUAGGUGUAAUCGAAAGCGUGCUAGUAUCGCUGCUCUAUAAUCCUAACACACUACAGAUCGCAGUGCUAGCACGUGACGGCGCCCCGUGGCAAUCGCGGUAACUGUGCAGCACAAGCAAUGCUCAAAUCGGCCAAUGGCCGCGACGUUCCCUCCAUUGUCGUAGUCACGCCACUCGAUGACGUAAUAAGGGCGAGCAAUUUCUAGCUGCCUCUCAAACGUAAUUGCAGAUUCCCUGCUUAGCCGAAGGGGUACAAUGCUUGGCUCGCACGUUCACAGAAGCCUCGAAUACCGGUCGGCAGCGUUUUCUGACCAUGUUCGAAAACUGUUGCAGGGUCGUUAAGUAGUUGCACUAACCGGACAAAAGACAGCUAACGAGGAGAAACACUGAGAAUGUUAAAGCUCCGUUCAUGGUUACUUAAGAUAGUUAAGCUAACUGCGGAAGCUUAGAAUUUUGUAAAAUAAUAUUACUGAAGGUUUUGUAGAAAUUCAAGAACAGUUCCAUCAGAAGCGAGCAAAUAUUUGUCUCUUUCGCAGUAUAAAUAAUGGGAGCAAUUUGACUAGACGUCUUCACUAAGAAGGACGUAUGUCGCUUACGAACGAACACAAUUUGCCUUCUCCCAGGCUGUCGCUGGAAAAGUAAGAAAGCUAUGCUGGCUUCUGGGUAUUCGUAUUGCUAAUUAUCAUCAUGAAAAGCCGCGCUCGUGGCUGUUGGCUGCACGACAGAAGGCAGAGAAAACCUCUAUCGGUGCAUCGAUCGUUAUUGAUGACAGUCGGAUGGAGGCCGUCUAGUCCUUGGAUUUCACUGGUCGUUUAUGUUCCUCUCAUCACCCGGUCCGCUGAGCCACGUCAGAGCAUCACUGGCCGCGCCCUCAUACGGCGCAUUGUGCUAGUUUAAAGGUGCCGUACGUCGAAACAUCUGAAAACAUCGCGAGUCUGAGCUAGUGAAGGCGUUGUCGAGUGCUUUUUAUACGUUUAUUGCGUAGAUUUGUUUCGCGAUAUGGGAACUGAAUUCAACAUUGAGCCGAAAUGUGAAUACGGCUAAAUAUGAUGCUUUGUAGAAGAGUGAAAAUUCGCCAGUGAAUGAUUUCUUUCCUUCGAUUUCAAGAUUGCGAAAUCAAUAAAGCAAUCUCGACAGUUAUGCAGCUUUGCAGUGUAGAUACCAAAAAGCAGUUCACGGUAGCUUCACAGAGUGGCCAGCAACAAGCUUCCGUUUGUAUCCGUUUAUGCAAACGAAAUUGUGAAGGCUUCGCUAAUGAGCGCUGUUUAGUUCUGUGCAAGCAAGUGCUAGUGGACCGUUGCGAAACGGAAAAUGCUGCAGCAUAGACGAGUUGAGCAAACUACAAGCAGCUUUUCUGCACAACAAAAACCCAUGCGCAAUGGCGGUGCCUUCCGCCCCCGCUGCAAUUGCUGUGUACAAUAUCGUUUUCAGUGUUUCAUCAUGGCCGGACCAUAGGUGUGUCUCUCCGCCUCCCAUUGUGCAUGAAUAUUUGUUGUGUCAAUACGAAUAUUUGUUGCGCGAACAUGAAUAUUUGUUGUGCAGGUAAGCUGCCGUGUAGUUCUUACAACUGGUUUAUAGCCCAUUUUCUAGAGAAAAUGUUGGGGUUGUCACACUUGAAAUAUGCUGUUGUAUCUGCUGAGUUACCCAUUUCAUGCGUUCGUGGAGUGAGUAAGAGCCAAUCGAGCCGUGAACUUCUAGCAAUAUUCACUGUCAGUGCACUAAUGUUGUAAAUAGUAAGCGCAGAAAAAGAGCCUCUGCCAUUGCCUUCACUGCAUUAUUUUUUAUAAUAAGGACGUUAAAAUACUUAGAAAACACGUCUUAUUAUAAACACCUUCACAUUCAAAUCAUUUCAAUACUAGUUUGUUCAAAACCAUGUUUGUCUUGAUCUUUCGCAGAAAAUGCUAUUUUUGUAUUCAGAGCUGAGCGUUAUCAAUGCAACCUCACUGUGUGCCGUCGUUCUAAGUGGUCAGAAGAUAUUGCAUUAAAUGUUUUACUCUAUAUUUUAUGUUUUUAGAGCAUGUAAAUUAUUUAUUGUUAAUUAUUUAUUGCGAUAAUACUGCCGUGGGUUUCACGCAGUUCUACUGCGCUGAACUCAGAAUAUUGUGAUAAGUAUGGCUAUAAAUA